rnacentral:tRNA from 1 species
GGAGAGAUGCCGGAGUGGUUGAACGGGCUCGCCUGGAAAGCGUGUAAUCGGGGUAACCUGAUUCGAGGGUUCGAAUCCCUCUCUCUCCGCCA